rnacentral:lncRNA from 1 species
UUCGUAGUUUAUAGUUUGUUUGUUCGUAUUGAUGUUCUGAUUUUCAACUUGGUAUCAAAAUAGGUUUGAUCCUUUGGGUGUGAUAUGCUCUAGAUGGGUAUCAGUUUGCUUGUGUCGUUUGUUUGUUUUAGUUUUGAUCUGUGGAAAUUUUUGUUUUCUGGUUUGGAUUUUUGUUUGUCGUUCAUACUACAAAAAAAAGUAGGUUCCCGCCCCUAGUCCCUCGCUUGGCAAUACCUGCAUCGCUGCCUAAUCUGCCCGAUCCAAGACCUCCAUCUGCCUUGACCUGACUUGGCUGCAUCUACCAGCUACAACACAUCCUAACCAAACCUGUUGCCCCACAUGUUAGUAGAGAUUGGUGUGCAUCUCAAACAGCCUAACUAAAUGAGGUUUUUGACUAUUUUAACAACAGCAAAAAAAUCUAGUUAAAUAACUAGCUAUCUUAACUUUGUGAAUAAUAACUAGCUAGAUUUAGCCUGGAGGAGAGAAAGUUAAAUUUUUGCUAAACAUUAAGCAUUAUAAAAUUGUAUUGUUUAUGGGCUUUAAGAGAAAAAAGGGCUUGGGUUGUUGUGUUUAAUAUAAAAUAUUACUUAGAAGUGUGUAGGAGUAUUAGUGUAGAAUAAUCAGAGUACUUUCAUUGUUUUCUCAAGGAGGUAUGUAUAGGAUUACAAGUAGGGUUACAAGACUAUACAAUCUAAUCAAUUACACCCAUGACUCAUGCAACACCCUUUCAAGGUGGAGCAUAGAUAUCAUCGAUGG